rnacentral:rRNA from 1 species
AGAGUUUGAUCAUGGCUCAGGACGAACGCUGGCGGCGUGCUUAACACAUGCAAGUCGAGCGAGGCCCUCCUUCGGGAGGUGUCCUAGCGGCGAACGGGUGAGUAACACGUGGGCAACCUGCCCCUAGCACUGGGAUAACCCCGGGAAACCGGGGCUAAUACCGGAUACGACCAACGAGGGCAUCCCCGUUGGUGGAAAGGGUUACCGGCUAGGGAUGGGCCCGCGGCCUAUCAGCUUGUUGGUGGGGUGACGGCCUACCAAGGCGACGACGGGUAGCCGGCCUGAGAGGGCGACCGGCCACACUGGGACUGAGACACGGCCCAGACUCCUACGGGAGGCAGCAGUGGGGAAUAUUGCGCAAUGGGCGAAAGCCUGACGCAGCGACGCCGCGUGAGGGACGAAGGCCUUCGGGUUGUAAACCUCUUUCAGCAGGGACGAAGCGAAAGUGACGGUACCUGCAGAAGAAGCACCGGCCAACUACGUGCCAGCAGCGGCGGUAAUAC